CACAAGAUUGCUGGAGAUCCCUCGCUAACAAGAUGGAUGAACUGAGGCUACAGACUGCAGCUAACAACGCCGUGAAGGACAGCAGCAUUCUGUUGAUCACGGAGACCUGGCUUCAUUCAUUCAUUCCGGACUCUGC